rnacentral:rRNA from 1 species
GUAGUCUGCAACUCGACUACAUGAAGCCGGAAUCGCUAGUAAUCGCGGAUCAGAAUGCCGCGGUGAAUACGUUCCCGGGUCUUGUACACACCGCCCGUCACACCAUGGGAGUCGGAAAUGCCCGAAGUCAGUGACCCAACCGAGAGGAGGGAGCUGCCGAAGGCAGGUCUGGUAACUGGGGUGAAGUCGUAACAAGGUAAC